UGGAGGGAGAUGGGCCUGGCUGCUAGGAGUUAAGCAGGGUACCAAGACUGGAGCAGGGCUGAGGGAAGACCAGAGGAGCUAGGGAGCUUUGGCCUGGAAAUCCCCAAGGCUGCAGGCCUUGUUAAAGGCAAAAGAAAGGGGCAACGGACUCCCAGUGCUAACCAGUGGCCCUGCCCUCCCUCUGUCACAGCCCUCUAGGCGUAUAGGUUCCUGUUCCGCCGCCGCCUCCACCACCUCCUCCGCUCGGAUUGGCUAUGAUCUGCCCUCCAGAGACGUACAUAGGGACGGCUCCAGUGCUGGCCACAGUCUGGGAGGUUGCAGGAGUGGUGACCUGCGCCGGGGUGGCUUGCGAUUCAUAAUAAUUGGCUCCUGUGCUCUGCGUAUAGAGAGGGGUCUCUGUGUAUGGGUAAGUGCUGGAACGUCUGAAACAAGAGGGGAGGUUUAGCAGAGUUGUGGAGCAGAUGCCACGGCCGUUGUGCAAAUAGAUAUUUCACAUUUAUAUAGCACCUUUCAUCCGCCACUGAAAUGCAGCUACCACUGGGGUGGAACACAGCACCUGAUUAAUACCACAACAGUCUACGGCAGGAAAUGACGAGAAAUCUUGUAUCCAACAAAGUGCAGGGUGAAGUUAGCGAGGCAGAACAGAGUUAUCCAGGCUGGACUUUGGCUGGGGUGAUAGGGUUAAUGUGCCCAGGGCCUCAGUUCUUCAUUUCACCAGAAAGAGGAGGAGGAGGAUGAUGAUGAUGAUGAUAAUAAUACAGUGGUUUCCAUACACAGAUCUCAAAGUGCUUUACAAAGGAGGGCAGUAUAGUUAACCCCAUUUCUCAGAUGGGGAAACUGAGACACAGAGCUCACCCAGCAAAGCAGUGGAGAAGUGCCUGUUAGUGCCACGUUGACACCACUUCCUGCAGCACUAUAGCUGCCAAGUUCGAGUCUGAUUCAUUCUCUCUCUCCUCUCUCCACAGCCCUUUAAGGAGCAGAAAAAGAUGGGGAGGUACAAACUGAUCCCCUUAGAUCAGUGGGAGCAAGAGUGAGUGGAAAGAGAAGCAGGCAGUCUGUUGCCCAGAAGCAGAUGGCAGGAGACCCCACUUGGCAGGUUUCCAGCAACUCUGGACAACACGAUCUCCUUACUUUAUAAACCCUGUGAGGUUACUACCCAAGCUAUUAUAAUAUCUGAAACUGUUCCAAUCCUGUCCAUCACAAAGGAUCCCCAGGCAUUUUAUACACACUAAAGGGCCCCACCCUGUGGGGUGGGGUGCAGCAGCUGUUUGACAGCUGCCUAGCAGCACUGCAUGAGAGUUUAUGGUAGGAAGUGAAAAGGAAUGCUGCAUCCAACUGAAAUUACAAGUAGGAUUUCAGGGAAGCAGAAUGUAAACUGCCCAUCCUGACAUUUGGCCAGGACAUUGGGGUUAAUGAAAUGGAACCUACAAUGGCCAGAAGUAGCCCUGCCCGUGGGUUUCUGAAGAGAAGAGCUCAGUAUUCUAACUUGCCUGUAUUUUACAGUGAAAUCUGCUGCAUUGAAUCAGAAUUGUUUGCGACGGGAAUGAAUUGGUGCCUGUUCUCCCAUGUCCCAGCCUUGUCUCUGUGGAUGGAAUCCAGGCAUCUCCCUCCCCCAAAACUCAGUUUCUGGGCUCCUAUUUCACUCGAAUCCAAGACACAAACCAAAUAUCUGCUUUCAAGAGGUCCAAGAAUAUCAGUGCCCGUGGCAGGGACUGGCCUAGGUGGGUAAGGAAUGCAGGCAAAACGGGGAUCCCCGGUGUAAUGCUACUGGCUUCAGCAGAAGGAAGUGAUCCGUGGUGUCCUAAUGCAAUGGGAUGGGGAUGCUGGGUGGUUCCAGCUCUGCUCUCUGGAAGGAGCAGGGAGGGCAGAGGCAACCAUUCUUGGAUCUCCCUGGGGAACCUCUCCAUGACCUACUUUAAGAGCUGUAGCUGCUGUCCCAAACACUAGCACCUGAGGGACUCUCUGAAUCUUGACUCUCUGGUCGGGACUGGCGUGAUGAGAGGAGAGGAACGGCAGCUGCUCAAUCACCACCUUUUGCUGCGGGAGGAGGAGGUGCUGAGGAAGCAUUCGGACCAGUUCCACCCACUGCUCCGAAGUGGAUUCUAGCGAGUGGAGAUAGUGGAGCCUGUGCUCUUGGCUGGCUAGACAGCAGCUGGCCAGCGGAUGCGUCCCGCUACUACACUCUAAGGAGAGAGGAUGCUGCACUGCCUGCGGCUGCUGCUGCUCACAGUUCCUAGCCGGACCAGGGAACUCACUGCCUGCGCUCUAAACAAUAAACAGAAACACUGAGGAAAUCGGAGCUUGCAUUGCAACCACGAGCUGUUCGACUGCUUCCCUGCUCAUGGGGGAAACUCCUGCUCAGAGUUAAACCCAGUCGCUACUUAAUGCAGCACCUAAUACCACAACAGUACUCUGCAUUUACAUGACAUCUUCCAUUUGAGGACCUGACUGUGCUGAAUAAUGGCAGAUCCCUCCUGGGAGCUCCUGACUCUGCCAACCCCACCACCCACAGCCGUGUGCUGUUCUGAGGGGUGACUUCGCUAGCUGUCAGAUCUGGAUGGUGCUUUGUGGAACAAAUGAAAAGCAUGCAGGUUAAGGCAGGAAGUGAUAGCAACACAGGAACUCCUCGAAUUUAGAUGGGUAUUUCUAAUGUGCCUAAAACUGCAACAGCCAUUGAUCCUACCGCACUUUAAGUUUAUAAAGCAUGUUCGGACCUGAGUUAAGCCCCACAACUACCUGCAAGACCUGCAGAGGAAAGCCAGUCCUAGGAGCAUGAGCUGGAUUCUAUUCUAACUUGUGCAUCACCAACAGAAUACACUAAAUUCCAAAUUCAAAUCUGAAUUGAUGAUGCGUAAGCUAGAAAGAACCUGGCUUGACUCCCUGACCUCAGGGGGAGUUUGCGGUCUGGUAGCAUUACAUUAUUAUCUUUUCACUUGAAAAACGAGUACAUUUGUAUCCGGAGUUGUCAAGAGAUGAUAAAGGAGGAGACUCGCGUAGACAUUCUCGAUAGCAGCAGUAAAUUGGAAUAAGCCCGUCUCUUGAUGUAUGGUUAGUUCUCAGUGGAGAGUCAGCUCUCCAGAUCACUGUAUAAAGGUGCCUCUGUUUACCUGAGCCUGUUCCACAGCUUGGAUUUAUUUUAAAGUGUGUGUUCUAUUCUGAAGAGUGAUUAUUGCUCCUUCUUACCUCUCAGACAUUCGCCCUGGCAGGAUCUACCUGUAGAAGCAACAGUCAGAUUUGGCUGCUUCUCACUCUGAUUAGUCCUGCGGAGCCAAGAGAGCUCUGGGAGAGCAAGGUAGAGUCUCUUGUGGCUCGUGCCUCAUCGAGAGAAUUGCUGAUUCAGUUCUGAGGGGCUUACAAAGGCAAUGGGGCUGCACAGCUGUUCCUGGGGACAGAGAUUCCCUGCAGAACCAUAUUACUGGUGCUGAUCCAGAGGAUGGCAAGAGGCCAAUUUGAUAGGGAAGAUCAGGCAGAGAGGAUGGAUGGUUCCAGUAGUUCAGGCACUGGCAUGGGAUUUGGGAGACCCAGUUCAAUUCCCUGCUCUGCCCACAAACUCCCUGUGUGAAUAUCGCCAGCUCACUUAGUCUCUCUGGGCCUCAAUUAUUCAUCUGUAAAAUGGGGAUAAAAAUAUUUCCCUGCUGCCCACAGGGGGCCUGAGGGUAAAUACAACAAAGACUGUGACGUGCUCAGACACUGUGGUGAUCCAGGUCAUAGAAGGACCUAAAACAGAUAAGAAGGAGUUCAUGCCCAUCUAUUGCAGGCAGAGGUGAUUGGUAUUUGUUUCAAUUAUAUACGUGUACCCAGAGGCUGUGUCCAUAGACAGAUAAUAUAAACCUCUGGGCCUGAUCCUGUUCUCACUGAAGUCAAUGGUCUCCUGAGGGAGCAAGACAGGAAUAAACAUACAUAAUGUUCUGCUGAAAGGGGAUAGCAGUUAAUCUUGUAUCUAAAGACAAUCCCAGAUCUCACUAAAACUUACGUUUGUGGCAAGCAUAGUUUUAGGCCCAAAAGAAGAAACAAUCAAGAUCCUUUAGGUAGCAGAGACAGCUGCAAACAUGGAAGCUACCGCCCAAGGCACUGGGUCACAUGGUAGGUCAGAGCUAAGUUGUAUGGGCUGAGUGGUUUUCCUGGUUGCAAACACAGGGGCUAGGAUGUCGGUGGCUGCCUGUGUGUGUUGGAAGAAACAGCCAGGAGUGUGAGUGUGACCUUGAGGUGAAGCAGAGUGUCUAAGCUUCUUGGGCACAGAGCUCACCGGAAGCUCAGGCAUGGGAAUUUCUGAGGGAGGAAAUUGCCUGCUGCUGUUUGUUUCUAUGGUCAGAGAAACAGCACUCUGGACAUUUUUUUGGAAAUAAACAAGAUAAACCAAGAAUAUACCUGGCUCCUAUAAUCAAUUCCUCAGCCUAAACAAUUCUGAAAGGCCCCUGACAUUAAGUAACCACUCAGGCUGAAGGAGCGACCAUAACAUGUGAGAAGCCAUGAGGCUUUCCCCCACCACACUCCUCCCAGACUUACCGGACAC